rnacentral:rRNA from 1 species
AUUGAACGCUGGCGGAAUGCUUUACACAUGCAAGUCGAGCGGCAGCGCGGCCUUCGGGCUGGCGGCGAGCGGCGAACGGGUGAGUAAUGCAUCGGAACAUGCCCAGUCGUGGGGGAUAACACUUCGAAAGAAGUGCUAAUACCGCAUACGUCCUGAGGGGGAAAGCGGGGGAUCGCAAGACCUCGCGCGAUUGGAGUGGCCGAUGUCAGAUUAGCUAGUUGGUGGGGUAAAGGCCUACCAAGGCGACGAUCCGUAGCUGGUCUGAGAGGAUGAUCAGCCACACUGGGACUGAGACACGGCCCAGACUCCUACGGGAGGCAGCAGUGGGGAAUUUUGGACAAUGGGGGCAACCCUGAUCCAGCCAUUCCGCGUGAGUGAAGAAGGCCUUCGGGUUGUAAAGCUCUUUCGGUAGGAACGAAACGGUGGGCUCUAACAUAGUCCGCUAAUGACGGUACCUGAAGAAGAAGCACCGGCUAACUACGUG